GAGCUGCUGCUACUUGAGAGCCGUUUCUGAAGGCUGACAUCUUGAUCUCUUCUGGUGCCCAGUGAUGUUAAAAGGCUGCUCUGGAAAUUAUUACCUAUCCAUCUUCCCUGCAGGGCUAAUCGGAUGAGUAAAGGAGUGGGAGGAAUGAAAGAGCACACAGAAGCAGAAUCAUCUGAGAUGUAUAAAGCCAACACUGAGUCAUCACAUUGACAUGUCAUCAUAACACUGGUCUUCUGCGGUGUUGCUUCUCCUACAUCCAGCCUGUGGUUCUCUUUUUCCUGUCUUCCAUAACCAGCAAUGAAAAGGAAGGAAAAGUUUCCUUAGAAGGUUUAAUUCACUGUAUCUUUAGCUACCAAACAGAAUUUACAGAAUUCCAAGAAGGAUUAAACACUGAUACAGGUUUGAGUGUACACAGCCACUGCAAGAGAAAAUGCAGUAACUUGAGUGUCAUUUGAGAGCCUUUAUUCACAGGACUGAAUAGUCAAAGCCAUGAGAGCACUACAGACUUCAAAAGCCAAGAAUAGAGGGGGAAAAAGAGGAGCUGAAACAAGAUGCUUUUUGAAAAGGCUCAAAAUUCAUGAUAAGAUAUGACUUAGAGGCCACUCAGAGACUUCAGUCAAUGCCAGGAUCAUCCUGUGUUUAAGUGCAAACAGGCACAAAGACACAGAAUCUUCCCCAAAGCUGCAAUAAAUAAAUAAAUGAAAAUUAAAAAAAGAAGAAAAAAAUCGCAACAAAAGAUGACACGUCAAGCAGAUCAUAUGGGAGCAUUGAGAAAGAAGCCUACACCAAGCACCAACAUAUGUUCUGGGCAAACAGCCACUCAUUUAGUGUGAACCUAUCCAGCAAUCCCCACCUCCCUCUUCAGAGCCACUGUUAACUUCUAAAUGCUUGCAGAUAAGUGAUGUAAAGAGAUGUGACGAAAGGAUCGGCAAGGCUUUCCUCUUCCAAGUAGGAAGAUGAACCAUCCUUGAGGUGCAUAUCUGAACAAAUUUGCUCAAUUAAA